UUAAUAUCAACUCUACCACUUUCUAUGAAUAAAAAUAGGUUUGAGGUUUAAUAAUUCUUUGUUUACUUAUUUUAAAUGCUCAUAACUUUCUUCCUGGAUUAUUGCUAUCCAUGAAAUUUGGCAGAAAGAGACUCCUUUCUCUCCCAUUUACAACGGUGUAUCGCACUUAAUUUAUUAUCAACUCUAGCACUUUUUAUGAAUAAAAAUAGGUUUGAGGUUUAAUAAUUCUUUGUUUACUUAUUUCAAAUGCUCAUAACUUCCUUCCUGGAUUAUGGCUAUCCAUGAAAUUUGGCAAAAAGAGACUCCUUUCUCUCCCAUUUACAACGGUGUAACUCACUUAAUUUAAUAUCAACUCUACCACUUUCUAUGAAUAAAAAUAGGUUUGAGGUUUAAUAAUUCUUUGUUUACUUAUUUUAAAUGCUCAUAACUUUCUUCCUGGAUUAUUGCUAUCCAUGAAAUUUGGCAGAAAGAGACUCCUUUCUCUCCCAUUUACAACGGUGUAUCGCACUUAAUUUAUUAUCAACUCUAGCACUUUUUAUGAAUAAAAAUAGGUUUGAGGUUUAAUAAUUCUUUGUUUACUUAUUUCAAAUGCUCAUAACUUCCUUCCUGGAUCAUGGCUAUCCAUGAAAUUUGGCAGAAAGAGACUCCUUUCUCUCCGAUUUACAACGGUGUAACGCACUUAAUUUAAUAUCAACCCUAGCACUUUCUAUGAAUAAAAAUAGGUUUGAGGUUAGAUUGAUAUUUAUUUCCAACAUAAAAAUGCUCAUAACUUUCUUCCUGGAUCAUUGCUAUCCAUGAAAUUUGGCAGAAAGAGACUCCUUUCUCUCCCAUUUACAACGGUGUAUCGCACUUAAUUUAUUAUCAACUGUAGCACUUUUUAUGAAUAAAAAUAGGU